GACUCACUGCUGUCAGUUGCUGUGUGAGCACAUGAAGAGGCGGGUGUGAUCGUGAUGUGAGAUUGCUUGUCACAUGCUCUUUUCAGAAUAAGUGGGUGCUUCUAUGAAGCUGGGUGGUGCUGGAAAUAUAACCAACAGACUGAAGAGCCUCCUUACCCUAUACUGUUCCUGCUACUUCUCCGGUUCUCUCCGUAUUGCUGUUUGUGUCCUCUUCACGCUGAUGCCCCUGAUCUCUAUGUUCUCCGAUGUGCUAAAACCGGAAGAUGCUAGGUAUAGUCAGCAUGUGGAGGCAAAAACACCAUCCUCAUGCUUGUAUAUCUGAGUCUAUCAUCCCUCUCUGGCUACACUUUUCACACCCCAAGAAAGUUUGUCUGCAAAUGUCUGUGAUCUGUCUUCAAUGCAAAAGCCCCUCUGUUAAUUAGCUGAACUCCUAAUUGCACACCUCCCCCUUUGCCGACUGAUAUAGUGUGUAGCAUUUAAGAGCAAUAUCAUCAAGGCCUGCAGUCAGGACUUGACCUGCACACAUCUGUGAAGUAUGCAUUUGUUAAGGAUGUAUUUUAAGGAUGAAGUUAGAACUGGAGUUUGAACUGGAUUUGUACUUUGGACUAUGCUAGAAUAUCUAAUUAAACUACAAAUACUGCAACUCAAGACCAUGAGAACACCAGGACCAAUGCCUACUACUCCUUUGUACAAGAAAAUAAUGACUGCCCCCGGGACUACCCCUUAAGCUGAGCAGGGAACUGAGGGGCAUGCGCACCAGGACCAAACUUUGCUGGGUCAAUUCCAUUGGACAUUAGUGUGCUCCCCACAUUUUCACACCCACCCGCACUGCUCUCAUGAGACCAGGACAUUUAUAAUUUUCGCAAAAUAACAGAUUCCCUGCAAAUGUGUUUUUCUCUCCUCUUUCUUCUUACAGCGUACUUCCACCCCACUGUGUGCUAUUCCUAUAAUGUUUACCUCCAUUGAUUGCACACCCUUCCAGCAGCAACCUAUGUAGUGCACCCCACAUGGCUGCCUCGGAUGGUUCCUCCGUGGGCAGGGUGUGCUUCAUUUGGAUCUUUCCAUGCAGGGUAUAGCAUACUCCUACACAUGUGUUAGUUUUCUGAUACAUGCAUUUGGCCCUUGUAUGGCUCAUCUCCCACUGUGUAGUGCGCCCAACAUGGCUGCCUUUUCUGGUGCGCUUGUGGAUGGGAUGAAAAAUACAUGGACCUGAUGGUUUUGUUGGAUACCUACUCUGAACUUUAGGACUCUGCAAUCUACUCAUUUUGUGUUCUCUCUUCUAGGCGUGGACUGUUCCACCCUGGAUAAACCUACGCGGUGCGCCCAAGAUGGCUGCCGUACCUGGUACCUUGUGAGGGUGGAAUACACAACCCUUGGAGGUUAUUACCCAAAAUACCUACACCAAUCAUACAUUAUGCUUUCUGUGUGCUCAAGGUUUUCUUUUAUGUUAGUGUGGUUUAUCUUUUGAUGUAUUACUUAAAUCUCUGUAUUAUGGGGUAAUUCUGAGUUGAUCGCAGCAGGAUUUUUGUUAGCAGUUGGGCAAAACCAUGUGCACUGCACACUGCAGGGGAGGCAGAUAUAACAUGCAGAGAGAGUUAGA